ACUUCUUUAGUAUAACAAAUACAACUGACUUCCAAUUAGUAGAUUCUGAUAAAGCUUCAGAAAGAAGUA
rnacentral:tRNA from 1 species